rnacentral:rRNA from 1 species
CGUGGAGCGAUUUGUCUGGUUUAUUCCGAUAACGAGCGAGACUCUAGCCUACUAAAUAGUCUGCACAUUGCUUUGUGUCGCAGUACUUCUUAGAGGGAUUUUCGGUGUACAGCCGCACGAAAUUGAGCAAUAACAGGUCUGUGAUGCCCUUAGAUGUCCGGGGCUGCACGCGCGCUACACUGAAGGAACCAGCGUGCAUACUAACCUGGUCCGAAAGGACCGGGUAACCCAAUCAAACUCCUUCGUGAUUGGGAUAGGGACUUGCAAUUAUUUCCCUUGAGCGAGGAAUUCCCAGUAAGUGCGGGUCAUAAGCUCGCGUUGAAUACGUCCCUGCCCUUUGUAC